rnacentral:rRNA from 1 species
GGACUACCGGGGUUUCUAAUCCCGUUCGCUCCCCUGGCUUUCGCACCUGAGCGUCAGGUACUCCCCAGGACACUGCCUUCGCCUUUGGUGUUCCUCCGGAUAUCUACGCAUUUCACCACUCCACCCGGAAUUCCGUGUCCCUCUGAAGCCCUCAAGUCUGCCAGUUUCCCAGACACUUUUUCGGUUGAGCCGAAAACUGUCACCUGGAACUUAACAGACCGCCUGCGUGCGCUUUACGCCCAGUAACUCCGGACAACGCUCGCCUCCUACGUAUUACCGCGGCUGCUGGCAC